CAUAGGUAGCAUUGAGAUGAUUCUGAUGGACGAACAUAUGUAAUUGGAAGAGUUGUAGAUGUUGGAGAUACUUUGUGUUUUAAAUGGCAUGAAAAAAAAUUAAAGAGACUGAGUUUGGUGUUGCAAGACAAGAGUGGAAAGAAGAUUGAAUGUAUUUUACAUAAUCAUUAUGUGGAUAUAUUUAUGCGGGUUGUUCAAUGUUAUGAAUUAUCUAUAUUGGUUAUGAUAUUACAAUUCGUGAGAGCUCGAAAUU